CUAAAACCACAGCAAAGCUCUUGUUUACUCCAAACCUACAGUCAGACGUAAGAGAACAUUGUCUCCUGCUUGCGGACCUUGCGGAGCUUCGGCAGGACGUCCGGCGGUCACUCGCGGCAGCUCACGGUGCCUAACACCGCAUCUUACCAUUUAUAAUGACACAAGAUGGGAAUCAAAGCAUGUGUGAAGUUUCAAAAUUCAUAAGUGAAUCUGAAACAAGAAAUCAGCA